AGCAUAAUUUCUGGAUCAUAGGGUAAGAGUAUAGUUAGUUUUGGAAGAAACUGCCAAACUGUCUUCCAAAGUGACUGUACCAUUUUGCAUUUUCACUAACAAU
rnacentral:pre_miRNA from 1 species